rnacentral:pre_miRNA from 1 species
CCUUUUAGGGUUAAAACGCCAUAUUUUAGACGAGUCUCCUAAUUUUUUGGGACUGAUAAUAUUUUUAAUGUGUCUCCUAUUUUUAGGGACC